rnacentral:rRNA from 1 species
CAAGUCGAGGGGCAGCAUGGGGGAGUAGCAAUACUCUCUGAUGGCGACCGGCGCAAGGGUGCGUAACGCGUGAGCAACUUGCCCUCAUCAGGGGAAUAAUCGCUGGAAACGGCGUCUAAUGCCCCAUGGUGAUGUCCUCAGGCAUCUGAGGUCAUCUAAAGAUCCGUCGGAUGGGGAUAGGCUCGCGUGACAUUAGCUAGACGGCGGGGUAACGGCCCACCGUGGCGACGAUGUCUAGGGGUUCUGAGAGGAAGGUCCCCCACACUGGAACUGAGACACGGACCAGACUCCUACGGGAGGCAGCAGUGAGGAAUAUUGGUCAAUGGGCGCGAGCCUGAACCAGCCAAGUCGCGUGAGGGAAGACGGUCCUAUGGAUUGUAAACCUCUUUUGUCGGGGAGCAAAAGACGUCACGUGUGGCGUUCCGAGAGUACCCGAAGAAAAAGCAUCGGCUAACUCCGUGCCAGCAGCCGCGGUAAUACGGAGGAUGCGAGCGUUAUCCGGAUUUAUUGGGUUUAAAGGGUGCGCAGGCGGAAGAUCAAGUCAGCGGUAAAAUUGAGAGGCUCAACCUCUUCGAGCCGUUGAAACUGGUUUUCUUGAGUGAGCGAGAAGUAUGCGGAAUGCGUGGUGUAGCGGUGAAAUGCAUAGAUAUCACGCAGAACUCCGAUUGCGAAGGCAGCAUACCGGCGCUCAACUGACGCUCAUGCACGAAAGUGUGGGUAUCGAACAGGAUUAGAUACCCUGGUAGUCCACACAGUAAACGAUGAAUACUAAUUGUUCGGGGAGAAUGAUCCCUGAGUGAUACAGCGAAAGCGUUAAGUAUUCCACCUGGGGAGUA